GAUGAAGAACGUAGCGAAAUGCGAUAAGUAAUGUGAAUUGCAGAAUUCAGUGAAUCAUCGAAUCUUUGAACGCACAUUGCGCCCGCCAGUAAUCUGGCGGGCAUGCCUGUUCGAGCGUCAUUACAACCCUCAGGCCCCCGGGCCUGGCGUUGGGGAUCGGCGGAGCCCCCCGUGGGCACACGCCGUCCCCCAAAUGCAGUGGCGGUCCCGCCGCAGCUUCCAUCGCGUAGUAGCUAACACCUCGCGACUGGAGAGCGGCGCGGCCACGCCGUAAAACACCCAACUCUUCUGAAGUUGACCUCGAAUCAGGUAGGAAUACCCGCUGAACUUAAGCAUAUCAAUAAGCGGAGGA
rnacentral:misc_RNA from 1 species